rnacentral:lncRNA from 1 species
CAGGAAUAUUCAAGACUUCAAGACUCCAUGUCUAAGUCAUAGAGUCUGUAUUAAGGUGUGAAAAAUGUAAUUUUUGUUUAUUGGAUCGAUCAUGCAGGAGUUUGUCGUUUGGUGAUUGCGAUGAUCUUCUUUUUAUUGUUUCUAAGUUGUGUACGAGCUUUGUAAUGUUCUUUUGUCACGAAAUCGCCAAAGGGGGAGAUUGUUAAGGAUUUUAUAGGUUGGCGGAUUUCGUAAUGUUGAAUGGAGUCUUGAAGAAUUGAUCGCGGUUGUUUGAAGAAAAUAUUCAAAUUGGAGAACAAAGAC